CGGAGGGCGCGAGCGUUACCCGGAUUUACUGGGCGUAAAGGGCGUGUAGGCGGCUUGGGCGUCCCAUGUGAAAGACCACGGCUCAACCGUGGGGGAGCGUGGGAUACGCUCAGGCUAGACGGCGGGAGGGGGUGGUGGAAUUCCCGGAGUAGCGGUGAAAUGCGCAGAUACCGGGAGGAACGCCGAUGGCGAAGGCAGCCACCUGGCUCGUUCGUGACGCUGAGGCGCGAAAGCGUGGGGAGCAAAACCGGAUU
rnacentral:rRNA from 1 species